rfam:Agrilus planipennis Contig27343, whole genome shotgun sequence.
UCUCUCGUAGCUUAGUGGUCAGAGCAUUGGUGCGUAAAGCAAAGGUCCCGGAUUCUACUCCCGGCGGGGGUG